rnacentral:rRNA from 1 species
GAUGAACGCUGGCGGCGUGCCUAAUACAUGCAAGUCGAGCGGACGGAGGGGGACUUCCCCCCGAUGCGUCAGCGGACGGACGGGUAAUAACCAGGUGGCUACCUGCCUGUAAGGCUUGGAGUACUCCCGGGAACCCGGACACAUAACCGAUCACUAUUUCGAACAGAUGGGGGCAAGAGACAAGAAGGCAUCUGCCUAUCCUUUACCGAUGAGCCGAGCCGCAUUAGCUAGUUGGUGAGGUAACGGCCUACCAAGGCGACGAUGCGUAGCCGACCUGAGAGGGUGAUCGGCCACACUGGAACUGAGACACGGUCCAGACUCCUACGGGAGGCAGCAGUAGGGAAUCUUCCGCAAUGGGCGAAAGCCUGACGGAGCAACGCCGCGUGAGUGAUGAAGGUCUUCGGAUCGUAAAACUCUGUUAUUAGGGAAGAACAACUGUCUGAGUAACUGUCGAUGUCUUGACGGUACCUAAACAGAAAGCCACGGCUAACUACGUG